UAGCAUUGGAGCUGGAUUAGGAAUGCAUUUAGCCUUGUGUAUCUUCUCCUCUAAAUUGCUUCAUGCCUCUAUUAUGUUGCCUCGUGGUUUAAGAGGUACCUUUUCAUUCCUCUUUGAUUUCAUUCCCAUGAUGUUGCCACCAUUUGAGUGUCUAUGAUGGCCCUUCUACCAAUCGGUCCUCUUCUACCUCAAUGGAUAUAUCAAUAGCCUUGAACAUCCUAUCCUUGCUUAGCUCAGACUCCUAUCCCUAGUGUAGUCGAUUGCCACUCUAAUUUGAAUGGAUUUGAGACAUCGAGCACCAUCACCUGGAUAACCUUGUUCCUUCUCCCUCUCUCAUAUUUGAUUUCCUCCAUAAUCUAAUGAUUUAAUUUGUGUCGAGCGAUCGUUCAGACACCGAACGAUCUAUCAUGGGUUCCACACCCAAACACUUUAAUUAUAGUAAAAGGCCAUAAUCACCUCAAUUAUUUAGUUUAGGUGUCAGUUUGGGAAGAACCUAGAGAUUAGGAUCAGUUUUAUAGAUUUUGAGGAGGAUAAUUAGUUUCUCUAUUUAUUCUAAAUUUUAAUAUCAAAUUGAUUUGGAUAUGUUAGGGGUAUACAUGGACGGAUAGGUACCUUGCUUGUUUUUGUCAUUGGUAGACGUAAGAAUCUCUUUACAUGCAUGCUUAUUUGUAUAUUAAUUCAGAAUAUGUCUAUGUGAUUCUAAUGUACGCAUAUAUGUUAUAGAAAAUAAAUGAAUUUAUAUUAUGUAUAGAAAUUACCAAUAUUUUGAAUUAUAUAAUGUGAACAUUUUAAUAUAUUUAACUAAUAAAAUGAGACUUGUAUAAUUGAAUGAUUGGAUGGGCUGCUUUUGACUGGUCAUAUUAUUAUGGAUUGCCCCAUCACGGGCAUCAAACAUGACACUCUCAAUUAUCUUAUCACAGGCGAGAAAUAUAUCUAUGGUUUAGUCCAAGGCCGAAUAUAACUUAAUAUAAUUAAUAUGCAUUCUUGAAAUAAAUGGAUGGGUGAAGGCCUUAGAUUAGCUAUGUUAUCUUGGAUUGCCGGUGAUAAAUUAGAGCGUGAUAUUGUGGAUAGCCUUGUCACAAUAGGAACGUGGUACUAUUGAUUGCCUUUGGUCAAGUGGGAGUGUCCGACAUCUCGGUCGGUUCAAUCAAGUUGAUUUUAUCUGAUUAUAGUUAAACUAGGGCACAAAUAGUUCAAGAAAAAUUGGAGGUGACCAAAUCUAAUAGUGUCUGGUAAGAGCUAAGGUGGGGGCUGGUAUAGUUUCCGACGGCCAUGGAUCAAAACCCCCAUCAUCAAGGUUGAUCAAAAUCAUUGAUAAGAGCCCUUUUGCUAGAUCCAACAACCCUAGAGAAAUCUAUAUAGAGGGAGAAAUAAGAUAGAGUGUGAGGAAGAGAGAGAAGAGAGAGAAAAAAAGAGAAAUAAGGUCUUUCUCUCUCCGACGGGGAAGAAGAGUUUGUAGAUGUGACUGUCAAUCGAAGGACUGACGAUUAGCCACCAUUAGUAGUGGCCGGUGGCAGCAGGUGGCCGGCGGCAAAGAAAUAAACUGGAGAAAGGAUUGGUCAAAUAGAGGAUGCAAUGGGUUUCUAAGUGAGCACAAUCGGUGCGAGAGGAUCAACCACAAGCUUCGACGACAAGUGCCGACAGCAAGGAUGACCGUAAAAGAAAAAAAGAGGGCUUGAAAUCAAAUCAAAAUAGAAGAACUAAAAGGGAUAAGGAGGGUGUAGAAAAGGAUUAAUUAGAGGAUUUGGGGGUCAUUACCUCGUUUUCCUGCGACGUACGGCCGCGGCGGUGGUGAAUGGUGUUUAGGAGAAAACUCAGACAAACUCUGGCGAACUCCAGCAACCUCCAUGUUUAGGCCCAAAUCUUCAGUGUGGGAUUGAAGGGGAAGUGGAAGGGCUCUAAAUAGAGCUCGAAAGAAUGCUAAAAUCUGUCUCGAUGUUGGAUUUCGUCUUAUGAUUCCAGGAAGAAGGAAACCCCAUCAGAAGUUUACUUCUCUCAUCAUAUGUGUUAGGCACGUGCCUUUUUUUUUUUCUAUUCUGUGCCGAUUUUUAUAUUUGAAUCGAUUAAAUGGAUUAGGCCUAGCUCUUUGUUGGCCCAAUUGGGCUGGAUGUUGUAGGUUAUAUGUUAUCAUCUUUUUCUCUUUUAUGGAUGGAAUUAAUGGCCAAGAAUCGAAUGAGAAAUAAAGGACUUGAUAAAUGCAUGGAUGAGUUCCUAUCCCUAACUUUUAUGUGGACAAGGCAUACAUGUGUUGCUAAAGGGCUCAUAUGAUAAGCUUGGCCCUUUUCAAGAGGUUGCCAAGUUGGACACCACCUGCCGAAGGGACUGGGUGCAAUGAAGGCCACUAAACUAGCACUCCAGCAUAGGUACAAGAAGACAUCAACAUGGUGGGACUUAGAAAGGGUGAUGCAUGUUGAAUAGCAGAAGUCAGGAUUGGGACAAAUUUCGAACCAAAAUCAUAUGAGAUGAGCACCAUAGAAGGAAAUAUGGAGAGGGACUUUUUUUGACACAUUUCCUCUUGCAUCUAUCUAAAAGAAGAAAUCCAAAAGUCAAAUAGGAUAAGAGGAUUUCUGUUAACGGAAUCUGUUAGUCUCCUAAUUUAAAGAAAGAAAAUUGCACAUGCUAAAAGAGACUAUUCGCAAAGAAUGACAAUCUACAUCCUCUUUUUUUCUCAUCAAGCCUCUCCUUCUAUCCUCUUCCUCAUCAAGUCGUCUUUCCCAUCUAUGAGGUCUUCCAUCUUUUUCCAAGUCAUUUUCUUCCUUUUUUGUGGAAACUAUGUAUUGAUUUACCUAAAGAUGUGUAUUGAAAUAUUGGAUGACUAUUUUGCUAAGUGUGUAUCAUCUGACAGUGUAGUGUGCACCGAUGAACAUCAUAUUCUAAAAAUUAUGUAUCGAUUUACCUGAAGUUAUAUAUUUGGUUGUUGUUGGGUGUGUAUCAGAAAAGUUUACAGUAUACAUCAGAAAAUCGACGAGUGUGUAUCACUUAGCCAUGUAGUAUGUACCGAUGAGCAUCAUAUUCUAGAAACUGUAUAUCGAUUUAACUAGAGGUGUGUACUGGGAUGAUGGAUGAUUAUAUUGCUAAGUGCGCAUCAACUCGCCAUAUACUAUGUACUGAUGAGCGUCCUACUUUAAAAAUUAUAUAUCGAUUUAUUUGGAGGUAUGUAUUAUGUUGCUACUAGAUAUGUAUAAAAGAAGCUUACAGUAUGUAUCAGAAAGCCGAUGAUUGUGUAUCACUUAACGAAGAAAAAAGAGAAUGCGAUGGUCUUUCUUCGCACACGGUCUUUAUUGGUAUGUGAAUUUUUUUCUUGUAUUUUUUUAAAGUUAUAGAAUUAACGGACUCCGUUAGUACAAGAAGUUCUAUCUUUAUUAGAUUUCUCGAUUUCCUCUUUAAUAUAGGUGUAAGAGGAAAUAUGGCAAAAAAAAAAGUCCUGCUCUAUAUUAUGAUAGUGCCUACCCCACAUGAUUUUUGUUCACAAAUUUCAUUGUAUUAUUCUAUAGGGCCUAUGUUGUGCACCUAGGAAUAAAUGCGUGUAUUAGAAAGUUUGGAUUGCAGAAAGAAACUACACAGAUGCCUUAGCAUGUGUUCUAGCAUGUGCAUUGUGCCAACAAAUACAUGUAUAAUAUUACCGAGACAAGGAAAUUUAUGAUAUUUGCAUUGCUCGACAUUCCAUAGCAUAUUUCACCGAAAAAAGAUUGCAUAUAUAGCAUAGAUAUGAUGGGGAUAUUUGCAUGUUCUUUUCUUUCUAAUUUAAAUUAAACCAAUCUGAAGUUUUGUACCUUGGCCUUAACCUCUUCAUUGAAUGGUCUAUUUUAUGUUCGCAGAAAAAUCUCUCCCAGGUUUAAACUAGUGCCGGUUAUCUGUCUGCCGGCACUGGUUUAAUUCACGUCGUCCAAUCUCUAUUAAGCUACCGAGCUACUGAUACCGUCUUCUUCUAAAAGACCAAUACCGUCAGGCAGAUUGCCGAACAAAUCGAACCCUAGGAGCCGGCCGUGUCCUGUCCGCCAUGGACGAGGCGCAGGAGAUCCUCCUGAGCUCUCUCAGCAGCUCCGGGGUCUCCCUCCCCGCCGGCGUCUCUUCCAUCAAAGAUCUCGGCCCGGACGCCCUCGUCUCCAUCUGCUCUCAAUCCCUCCGCCUCCUUGACGACGAUGAAUCGUCCCCGUCCUUCCCCACCUCCCUUCCUGAGUCCACCGCGGAGCGCUUCAAGAUAUGUGCCGACGUCGCCUCUGCCGUCAAAUCCCUGGGAUACCGAGGCGAUCUCAGCUUCCACCAGUUCCUGUAUCCUUCUUAUGAUGACUCAUACAAGUUGGUAAGAUUUUUGGUGGAGAGGCUAUCUGGAUCAUCUGAAGGUAGAAGAGCCAGAGAAAAUACAGCAACCAAAUCUACUUUGAGCAGUGGUGAAAUUACUGGUGACAUCCAUAAUGAUACAUUAGAGAAGCUUAAAGAAAAGGAGGAUAAGGUGAGGGAGAGUCAAAGUAAAGAGAAUUUUCUUUGUGAAAGAAGAUCUUUGGGGGAAUCAAAUAAAGGCAUUGCAGAGCCAUCUGAGACGGUUGCUGAGGAGGUAUACUCUGAUGUGUUGCUUGACACUAAUGCAGUUCCAGGGCAGUCAGGUGGGUCAGCUGAGACUGGAACACUCUAUUCUGAGCGCAUAGAAUCCAGUGAGAUCAAGAGCCAUUGCAGCAAGGAAGGUGUUGAAGAUGCUCCUGAAAAAUCUAUGAACUCUGAGAAAGAAUUAUGUGUUGAUGGAGAAGAUAUGACCCAAACAGACAAGUAUAUUGCUGAACUUGAACGAAAAUUAGCUUCUCUGCAGGAGCAAUUAUCCAAGUUAAGGAAUCAAGCUGACAGCUUGAAAAAUCAAGAAGAUAUGAUGACGGAGGCAAAACAGGUGAAGGCCUUGAAAGUUCAGAGCCUUGAAAGUGAGCAUGAGCUCCUAAAAGAGGCUAUGGAUAUGGCAUUAGAUGAACAACAUUCUGUUGGCUUCUAUAUUGAAAUGCUAAAUGGACGAGUAGAAGCAAAAAGACAGAGUCUUAUGAAAUUGGAAUCACAGUGGAAUGAUCUCAAGCAAACAGUGGAACAGAGACAGAUGAGAGAGGAGCAGUCACUAUAUGCUGAGAAAUCUUCAGUGCAAGAAAAACUAAUUAAAUUGAAAGAAAUUGAACAAGAAACAGAUGCCACCGUAUCUGACAUUGGCAAAAGAGAGGAUGAACAUGCUAAACUUCUUCUGGAGCUUGAGAAACUCCCAACGAUCUCUUCUAGAAAAUCCUACAUCCAGCGCAUAACUGAGAUUACAAAGAAUAGCUGGAAACAAGAUGCCGAUGUUGAGCGAAUCAUAAAAGAGACUCGAGAGCUUCAGUUAGAGAGUAAUUCCAUACAAGAACGCCUUCAUAGGACUUAUGCCGUGGUUGAAGAAACUGUCUUCAGGAAUGCAAAAGAUGACCCGGUAAGGCUGCAGGUAUAUAGGCUUUUAACGAGCAUCCACGAUAGUUUUGAACAGAUUUCAGACAAGCUUCUUGCCGCUGACAGAGCUCGAAGAGAAGCCACCGAGCAAGAGGCCAAACUUACGGCCAUUUCUUCCCGUAGUUUCGACAUCAGCAAACUCCAAGCAGAUCUUGAUUCGAUUAGGAAGGAAAAUGAGUUUCUAGAGCAGCAGCUCUGCCAUGAAUAAUCUCAAUGGCUCUUCCUUCUCUUGAAGAAAAAUGCUAUAGCUCACCCACUACUGAUCACCACUUGGUUCACUGGGGAAUGUGGAGGUCAGUGAUUGGCCGAGCAUAGGCAUGGGCCCGACUAACACUACCGACCCCACCAUGUUUGGCACCAAUCCCCAACAGCCACAUCCAGGGUGAACCAAGCAGCGAUCAUCAGCAGACUGUGGAUGCCAGCUAAGAAUCUUGUGCAAAUCCUUGCAACAACAGUAGUUACAUUAGCAGCAUUCAGUUCGACUGUUACCGAUGGCUUGGCAUUCAAUUUACAAGGGAGCUACCAUACCUCUUGGAGGUGUCUAUGUGGCUGCAGCAGUGUAUACAUAUCUAUGUAUUUCAGGAUGUUUAUGUGGUUGGUUGUGCAUAUGAUUUUAAGACUGGUUUAAAGGUAUGAAAUUAUCCAUUCUGUCAGGUUCCGGUAGAUAUGUUUGUGUUGUUCCAGAUGAUGUGGAAUGACUGGUUGCGAUGGAGUGAUUCCCUCUGGCCAUCAGCCAUUUUAGAGCAAAUGGUGUCCUGCAGCUGUGUGUGAAGUGGUUGGCCGAGCUAAAAGCGUGGAAUUUCUGCAAGGGUUGCACCUUACCAUGACUCCCUUAAAAAGACGAAAAAUGUCUAAAAUAAUCUAAGUUAUAUAACACAGACGUUGGCUAUCCUUGAUGCUGGGUCUCUCCUAAAAUUAAGUGGGUCCGUAUGUCUCAUUUCUCUUCUACAAACAGUAUUUUUGCACUAAUUAUAUGUCCCACAUUUACUCUCUAAUAAAUAGCCAAAUAAAGUAGA